rnacentral:rRNA from 1 species
AUUGAACGCUGGCGGCAGGCCUAACACAUGCAAGUCGAGCGGAUGAAGGGAGCUUGCUCCUGGAUUCAGCGGCGGACGGGUGAGUAAUGCCUAGGAAUCUGCCUGGUAGUGGGGGAUAACGUCCGGAAACGGGCGCUAAUACCGCAUACGUCCUGAGGGAGAAAGUGGGGGAUCUUCGGACCUCACGCUAUCAGAUGAGCCUAGGUCGGAUUAGCUAGUGGGUGGGGUAAAGGCCUACCAAGGCGACGAUCCGUAACUGGUCUGAGAGGAUGAUCAGUCACACUGGAACUGAGACACGGUCCAGACUCCUACGGGAGGCAGCAGUGGGGAAUAUUGGACGAUGGGCGAAAGCCUGAUCCAGCCAUACCGCGUGUGUGAAGAAGGUCUUCGGAUUGUAGAGCACUUUAAGUUGGGAGGAAGGGAAGUAAGUUAAUACCUUGCUGUUUUGACGUUACCAACAGAAUAAGCACCGGCUAACUUCGUG